CUUGGAUUCCACUAAAAAUCAUUGCACUGGGACUGAGAAUUCAGUAACGGAAGGCUCCGAAGGCAGAGGAUUCUUGGUUCAGCCAGUUCACAGUAAAAUUAACAAACUUCACAUCGUGUGUCAGCGAUGUUAUGACUGAUUCGGAUUCUGAUGUUUGUCGGUUGCCCAGGUCACUUGAGGAAGAUCAACCCUUGUCUUCUUCAAAUCAUGAGGCACAAAGUCAAAAAGUGCAUGAACACCACCUUCAUUAAGGACAUAAGAAAUAAAAGUGGGUGAAGACAAUUCAACACUUCAUUCUUCCUCAAAGAUUUAACAUACUGUUACAAAUCUACACUACCAUCAGGAGCGUCCUCACAUCAGCCAUUACUGUCUGGUUUGGUGCAGCAUCUUCUCACAUUAUAUGAAAACUACAACAAAUUGUAAGUUGAGACCAAACUUGACAUCAUCCAUGGCUCAGUUACAUGUAAUACAUACAAGGAAUGCAAAAAGACAUCAUGAUUAUGCCUGAGAUCAUUCAGAUAAGUGCAAAAAGCCAGGUUAUUUUCUUAAUGCAGAUCAUCCAUUUAUUUUUAAUACUAUGCAUUGUAUUUUGUAUAUCUCUAAUUGCAUAUACCAGAAUCUUUUGGAUUAAGUUUGAUCAUGCAACUGGGAAAGAAGGUCCAGCCAUCUCCACACAUUGUCCAGAGGUUUUGCCUUUCUCAAGAAAUCACAAGGUUUUGGGUGAGGUGUAUAUAUUGUGAUAAUUACUGUCUUAAAGGCUGUAUAGACUAAGGUAGGGGUGGUGGGGCAUUGUCCUUUCCUGUCUGUUACUCUAUAUUCACUUUACAGGAUGAAGGAAGGGUAGGCCACAACUCACAAAUAUUUAAAGUAGGAGAAGGCAUGAAAGCAUGAACCAAAGGGAAAGAGUAAAGGAAACAAAUGAAAGGCAAACAAAAGAGUGUCAAAUGAAUUAAACUUCUCAGCAAUUCACCAAAACACUUUUCAGAACAGAUACUAAUUUUAAAGUGUAAUGUUGAUCUGUGCUUGUUGUGUGGUUGUCAUUUUGACACACAAGUGCCAAAAAGAGUCCAUUCUAUGAUGUUGUUACAACAAUCCAUUUGACAAGUUUCUGAUCGUUUCUGUAGGUUAACUAUAUUUGCUUUAAUUUGGUGUUCUUGCUUUUGAGCAGCUGUAAUAAAUGAAGGAAGCGUCCUCAAUUUCCUGGAGCACAUCUUUAUUCUCCUUCAGAUGACAUGAUCCAGAAUGCUGAAGUAAAACAAUGGAAUCAUUACUACUGCAAGGGAUAUGUGCAUUUACCAACACAAUCUUAUGCCACUGGCCACUGACCACUUGACAUUGACAGAGUAGUAACUCUUGCAUUUAAUGUUUGCUUUGGAAUUGUGUCUGAGAGCCAUCAAUUAUGCCCAAGACUUGGAUAAUCCUACCAUGAGGAAGAAUUACAGUUUGCCUCUCAUUCUGGUACUGGUUUUACAUGGAGAAAUGAUGACAGAGCCUGGUCUGGCCUGUAAUGUAUCAGACAUCUGCUUGAUGAAUCUGUGUACUUUAGAAUGAUAGAUAUUGUCUACAUCCCUUGGAAGCAGGCAAGACUUGAAUGUUCAGUACUGCAAGUCAGUCGCAGCCAUUAAAACUGAACGGCUUCUAUAGCAUCUGUCAUGACCUCAUAAUGUCCCAAUGUACUUUAUAGCAAAUAACAUUCUUUUGAAGUGUAUCACGGGUGUAAUGUAGAAAGCAUAACAGGCUGGUUUCACACAAGAUCCCACAAAGAGCAAUAAAGUAAAUGAGCAAAUCAUCUUAGUUGUUUGAGGGGUAAGUGACGGGCAUCACACCAGGGAGUUUCUCCUGCUCUUCUUCAAGUGAUGCCCUUAGAUCUUUUAGUACACACGGGGGUGCAAACAGAGUCUCAGUUCAAAAUCUGAUGCAAAGGAUAGCUCCUUUAACAUUGGACUACUUACUUGCACUGUAAAGAAAUAUUAGUCUCGAUUAUGUCCUCAGGUCUCUGGAGUGGGCAUUAAAAGCACAGUUAUUUCUGUCUUGGAUGCAGGAGAACUGUUUUCUGAAGCAGUAGAUGAACUUACUCAAUCCACCACCUCCCUGGUAAGACUGGCUGUUUUCAGAUAUUUCAAGGCAAUGUCAACAUCUGGAUGGACAAAAACCAGUGCUGUUGCAAACAGAACAGGCCCUCUUCGAAAAAAAAAGUCAAUUAGAGUGAAACACUGAAUAGAAUGGACAGUUUAAGCAUUUGGUUUUCAGUAAUGAAAACCCCAACAAAUAAAAUUAGUCUUUAUUGCCUAUUUUAUAUCAGCAGCAUGUACUGUGAAUGGGAAGAUUAGAAAUUCACCAGGGAGAUAAUUUAAAUCAAUUUCCAUAUUAUAAUGUGCUUUCUCACAUUUCACGCAUUGGAGCUUUAGAUUGUCUGAAAAGCUAAUGGAAAGAUUGAAGAUAGCACAUCACAGUAGGAGCCAAUACGGACCCUCCCCUCCCCUUAACUUCAUGAUUUUAACAAUGAGCCUUUCUGCCAAAUGGCAUGGAUAUUAUUUUGUUCUCCUUGUUGUUUAGGUUCUGAAUCAUAGCUGUCAGCUUUAUAUUCACAGAUUGGUGCUGAGCAGCAAUCAAAUACUCCACACAGAGAAAAUGAAUACUUCUUGCACAUACAGAAAACUGGCCGAACUCAGCAGGUCAGUCAGCAUCUAUGGCAACGAGUCAAGAGUCAAUGUUUCCAGCUAAGACUCUUCAUCGGGACUGGAAAGGAAGGGGGAAGAUGCCAGAAUAACGAGGCUUUGUAGCUGGUGGAGAAGUAUUGAGAGCUCUGGUGAAGUUUGACAUUGAUUGCACUUGUAUGGAUGUCCAGAGAGAACUAGGCCUGGUCUGAAUGUGAUGCCGUUGGAAUUCCAACAGUCAGACAACAGUCCAUGCUGAGACACAAAUGUGAAUAAUCACUCCUAACCACCGCGUGUGACUGAUGUUUGCUGCACCCAGCAAGGAAGCCAUUGGCAUCCGAAACGAGAGGAGAGAAAUCUUAUUCCAAAAUUAAAUGGCAAUAAUGCAACUCUAAAUAACUGAUAUUCAGUUUGUCAUUUAGAAACCACAAAUGCAAUGCAGUUAAAAAAUGAGACAACGUUCCUCCAGAAUGAUAUCACAAAAGCAUAUGACAAAACUGACUACACCAGAAAAUCCACGUAACGUUUGGCAAUCCCCAAUCCAGAGUCCGGAGAGGCUGCUGCGUAUUAAUAUCGCGCUACCAUCUUAGCGCGUUCCCCAGAAAGGAGCUUCAAAUCCACCAGACAAAACAAGACCAAAAACUAAAGCUACAAGACCUGCACAAAACCACAUAGUUACAACAUAUAGUUACAACAGUGCAAACAAUAGCAUAAUUGAUAAAAAAAACAGACUAUGGGCACGGUAAAAAUAGUCCAAAGAUGUUAAAGGACUAUAAGUUCAAAAGAAAUCACCACACAGUUUCCACAAGUCCCCAGGGUCCCAACAGACUCGCCAUCCCACGCUGGCAGCAGAAUGGAAUACCCCCACUAUGGACUUCCAUGGCACUGCCCGACUCAGCUUCGCAGACGCAGCAUACAACGAAAGCUCUGUCGAACCCAGUCUCACAGACGCAGCACACACCGAAUGCGACCUGACCGCAGCAGACUCCAAGUCCGUCGAAUCUCCGAGCCGUCAACCCCACUGGCACAGCUUCUCUGAGUUUCGUGGUUGAUGUGACUGUUCACACAGAGGUGUCUGUACACUGACCAAACAAUUAAUAUCAGGCUCUGAACAAAACGGCAGAAGGAGACUCAUUGCAGAAUGAUACACCUACUCUGGCUGACAUAAUGAUGCAACCAGAAAUUAGAGAGCAGACAGUCUGCUGUACAUUAUGAAGUACAAGGAAGAAAAAAAACUCCAGCAAUAAAGAAAAACUAUUUUCCUGACACUUACUUUGCCUUUAAUUUUUUUAAAUGAUCCAGAUGCCAAAUUAGCAUGUGCUGCAAAAACCCAAAUGUUGCAUGAGUUUUUUUUCAGUAAAUCAUCCACACCAUUAGCUGAAUAAAACCUGCAUAAAUAUCUAAUAUUGUGCAAAACAGCAACAUAAAAUAAUUCACAUUUAUUCUUGCUCAUGGGAAAUCAUGUUUAAUUAUAAUCUACAUACCAAAUAAAGCUGCAGUUAUCCUGAUUUUAAUCUCUGAGUGUCUA